UACGUAGGGGGCAAGCGUUAUCCGGAUUUACUGGGUGUAAAGGGAGCGUAGACGGCCAUGCAAGUCUGAAGUGAAAGCCCGGGGCUCAACCCCGGAACUGCUUUGGAAACUGUAAGGCUAGAGUGCAGGAGAGGUAAGUGGCAUUCCUAGUGUAGCGGUGAAAUGCGUAGAUAUUAGGAGGAACACCAGUGACGAAGGCGGCUUACUGGACUGUAACCGACGUUGAGGCCCGAAGGCGUGGGGAGCAAAC
rnacentral:rRNA from 1 species